AGUGAACGCUGGCGGUAGGCCUAACACAUGCAAGUCGAACGGCAGCACAGUAAGAGCUUGCUCUUACGGGUGGCGAGUGGCGGACGGGUGAGGAAUACAUCGGAAUCUACUUUUUCGUGGGGGAUAACGUAGGGAAACUUACGCUAAUACCGCAUACGACCUACGGGGGAAAGCAGGGGAUCUUCGGACCUUGCGGGAUUGAAUGAGCGGAUGUGGGAUUAGCUGGUUGGGGGGGUAAUGGCCCACCAGGUCGACGAUCCGUAGCUGGUCUGGGUGGCUGAUCAGCGACCCUGGAGCUUGAACACGGUCAAUACUCCUACGGUAGGCCGCAGUGGGGAAUAUUGGACAAUGGUCGCAAGCCUGAUCCAGCCAUACCGAGUGGGUGAAGAAGGCCUUCGGGUUGUAAAGCCCUUUUGUUGGGAAAGAAAAGCAUCAGGUUAAUACCCCGCUGUUCUGACGGUACCCAAUGAAUAAGCACCGGCUAACUUCGUG
rnacentral:rRNA from 1 species